ACGGGGGGAGGAAAGUAGGGGAUCGUGUCCUCUCGUGGGGGAUAACCAGUCGAAAGAUUGGCUAAUACCGCAUGAGAUCGAAAGAUGAAAGCGGGGGACCGCAAGGCCUCGCGCGAGAGGAGCGGCCGAUGCCGGAUUAGCUAGUUGGUGGGGUAAAAGCCUACCAAGGCGACGAUCCGUAGCUGGUCUGAGAGGACGACCAGCCACACUGGGACUGAGACACGGCCCAGACUCCUACGGGAGGCAGCAGUGGGGAAUUUUGGACAAUGGGCGCAAGCCUGAUCCAGCCAUGCCGCGUGUGUGAAGAAGGCCUUCGGGUUGUAAAGCACUUUCGGACGGAACGAAAUCGCGCGGACGAAUAUUCCGCGUGGAUGACGGUACCGUAAGAAGAAGCACCGGCUAACUACGUGCCAGCAGCCGCGGUAAUACGUAGGGUGCGAGCGUUAAUCGGAAUUACUGGGCGUAAAGGGUGCGCAGGCGACUCCGCAAGUCAGACGUGAAAUCCCCGGGCUCAACUUGGGAAUGGCGUUUGAAACUACAAGGCUAG
rnacentral:rRNA from 1 species